GCAACACCAAAUACAGAUUACAAACUGCAUACAGAGCAGGGAGAGAGGAGGCGAGGCGAGGUGAGGACAGCAGAGAAAGAGACGGAAGCGUGAGAGAUUAAAUUAUGGAGAAGUGAUGACACUCACAGGUCGCCCAUGUCACUGUCUGUCUGGGAGAGCAGCUGACCAUCCGCCAGGAUCCGUUUGAUUAGAUCCUCAUCUGUGCCCACUGCUCAUCAGCUUUCUGGACCUACUGACAACCAUGGAGCUUCCUGCUGUACAAUGCCUCGCACCGGAUUUUUCCAGCUGACAGUACAUGACUGAUGUGCCCUUGAGCAAGACACCAAAUCCCCAACUGUUCCCUGGGUGCUGUGGGAAGGGCUGCCCACCACUCCAG